AAAUUCUAAGUGAAAUCCCAAGAUUUAGCAUCAUUAUGUAUUACACCUAAAUCAUCUAUCUAACGAUCACACACAAAGCAUAUAACAUGACAAACAUUCAAGCCACAUGACCUUGGUCCUCAAUCAACCCAAAACAAUGAAUGAACCAACUAAAGAUCACUUAUUCCAAAACAUGCACCAUUGAAUUCACUCAACAUAUGUAUUUAAGGCAAACGGAGCAAUCAAUGUGUAACCCACAUGGUACCUAAAACCGUUUUGUAGACAAUUAAUAAAGGAUGUCAUUCCAUGAAGGAAGCACCUCAAGAUUCCUAACGCAUGAAUUUCUAAAAAAAUAUUAAGAACAUGAACAAGUCAAUCAAGAAUAGAUCAUAGUAGCAUGUCACACCGUCAUUCUACAACAUAUUGAAAGCAAUUUGGACAAAUCUACUAUUUCAUCUUAAGACUAACAACAACUAGCCACAGAAAAGACAGCAUUGCAGUUCAAGACAAAUUCCAGAUUUCAAAGCUCAAUUUGAAAAAAGGAAAGGCAGGGCAAAUGAUAGGCAAAUUGGACAAACUAGGCAUCGUUAGAAAGCUUAAGGUGUCCUUUACGAAUUCCUAUUAGGUGACAAUUGCAAUUUAAGUCUUUUUCUAGCUCAAGCAAAGCCAUUUGUAUAAAUGGUCAGAUCAGAUCAUAACAAGCAGAACACAUCAGCAGAUUAGUGCUCUUGCAAGAAGCAUCAGGCAGGGAAAAUGAUGACCAAAUCGCACAUAUAAUAUGUCAUUAGAAAUCUUGAGAAGUCUCCUAUGAAUCCUUAGAAGGUCAUGAACACAAUUGAAAUCAUUUUCUAGCUCAAACGAAGACAUUUAGCAAAGAGGUCAGAUCAGUAACAGAAACAACCACACAGACCAGAACAACUUUCCAGAUUCUGGAGUAGACNN
rnacentral:lncRNA from 1 species